GUCCCUGGAGAAGUCAUCAACACUUUGUGUGGAUACAAGACCCUUGAAAAAGAGCGACUGCAACUGGUUGACAUUAUCCAUGUGCGAGGCUGUAUCCAUGCAGUUGGCCUGUGGUUUAAAGACAACUUUGAAGUCACUUUUGGGAUAGUUUGUACCUUACUGCUUCCACAGGUACUUGGCCUGUUUAUGGCCAGGUUAUAUUGGCGAAAGCUUGACGACAUAUACUACAGAUGGGACACUGUUGAUUUCAAGGCACUUGAGGUGAUAGACUUCAAAACAGUGGACUUCACAGGUGCUGGCUGGUGUUUGUGUUUUCCGAGAGAAGGAGGCUACAUUCCUGUCAAUGUCACAGACGAUGACGAUGACGAAGAGGUUAUCGGUCAAAGUAAAGUGUGAAAAGGUACCAGUAUCCUCAUCGUGGCAGUUCAUAGCACAGCGCACCUGAAGGUACAGACUAGAGAAUGUGUGAUGGACCUUAAGUAGGGAAAUAACUAGAUAUCACACCCAAUCGUGCUUCAUCCUCAGAUUCAUGGGAUAUCUUAGCAGGAAUUCUAAAAUAACUUAAUAUGGAUACAUGAGUAAGAAUCAACACACCCUGAAGACACACAAAAGCUCCAUAGUUUACAUGCACUGUCUUGGCAACCCCAAGUAUUUGUAUAUAUCUCCUUUUUACAAAAUAAAUGUAACUUUUUUUUUU